rnacentral:rRNA from 1 species
AUUGAACGCUGGCGGCAUGCCUUACACAUGCAAGUCGAACGGCAGCACGGGGCAACCUGGUGGCGAGUGGCGAACGGGUGAGUAAUGCAUCGGAACGUGCCAUUGAGUGGGGGAUAACGUAGCGAAAGUUGCGCUAAUACCGCAUAUUCUGUGAGCAGGAAAGCAGGGGACCGCAAGGCCUUGCGCUCUUUGAGCGGCCGAUGUCAGAUUAGCUAGUUGGUGAGGUAACGGCUUACCAAGGCGACGAUCUGUAGCGGGUCUGAGAGGAUGAUCCGCCACACUGGAACUGAGACACGGUCCAGACUCCUACGGGAGGCAGCAGUGGGGAAUUUUGGACAAUGGGCGCAAGCCUGAUCCAGCCA